GAGGGAAGCGGGGAUGAACGUCAAAUCAGCACGGCCCUUACGGUCCAGGGCUACACACGUGACUACAACUGGCCGGUACAAAGGGCAGCUACCUGGUGACAGGAUGCUAAUCUCAAAAGCCGGUCUCAGUUCGGAUCGGAGUCUGCAACCCGACUCCGUGAAGUUGGAUUCGCUAGUAAUCGCGCAUCAGCCAUGGCGCGGUGAAUACGUUCCCGGGCCUU
rnacentral:rRNA from 1 species